rnacentral:rRNA from 1 species
UACGGGGGGGGGCAAGCGUUGUUCGGAAUUACUGGGCGUAAAGGGCGCGUAGGCGGCCUUCUAAGUCGGACGUGAAAUCCCUCGGCUCAACCGAGGAACUGCGUCCGAUACUGAAAGGCUUGAAUCCGGGAGAGGGAUGUGGAAUUCCAGGUGUAGCGGUGAAAUGCGUAGAUAUCUGGAGGAAUACCGGGUGGCGAAGGCGGCGUUCUGGACCAUUACUGACACUGAAUCGCGAAAGCUAGGGGAGCAAACGGG